rnacentral:rRNA from 1 species
GCACUGAGCUCAGCGUGAUUACCCCGCUGAACUUAAGCAUAAUCAU